GACGAACGCUGGCGGCGUGCCUAAUACAUGCAAGUCGAGCGAAGUUUUUCUGGUGCUUGCACCGGAAAAACUUAGCGGCGAACGGGUGAGUAACACGUAAAGAACCUGCCUCAUAGACUGGGACAACUAUUGGAAACGAUAGCUAAUACCGGAUAAUAGCAUUAACUGCAUGGUUGAUGUUUAAAAGUUGGUUUUGCUAACACUAUGAGAUGGCUUUGCGGUGCAUUAGCUAGUUGGUGGGGUAAAGGCCUACCAAGGCGACGAUGCAUAGCCGACCUGAGAGGGUGAUCGGCCACACUGGGACUGAGACACGGCCCAGACUCCUACGGGAGGCAGCAGUAGGGAAUCUUCCGCAAUGGGCGAAAGCCUGACGGAGCAACGCCGCGUGAGUGAAGAAGGAUUUCGGUUCGUAAAGCUCUGUUGUUAGGGAAGAAGGAUUGUGUAGUAACUAUACACAGUAGAGACGGUACCUAAACAGAAAGCCACGGCUAACUACGUG
rnacentral:rRNA from 1 species